rnacentral:lncRNA from 1 species
UCGCCACCGUCGGCGAGGUAGUGCCGCCCGCCGCCACGACAACGACUACAGCCACGACGGUCAUCGCGUUCGUUGAGCCUGUUGAUAAUCUCGCGCAGACUCGACUUGGCCAAAAAAUCGAUGCUAUAGUCACCGCAUGCAGAAACGGUGGAUUGUAAUUAAGCCCUAAGAUAGGCCACGUAAUGUUUUGCACACACAGCAAAAAGCGAAGGUUGCUUUUGUUUAUUUAUCCGACCAAAGAAGCAGUGACUAUUGGAAAAAUGAAAAAAUUAAUUCCGGUACCGGGAAUCGAACCCGAGCCUCCUGGGUGAGAGCCAGGGGAAUGGGUUAAUCAACGGAACGCUCCGUUGCCGGCUCCCGUGUUUGACGGUAUUGCAGAGUGCGCGAGGAGCUACUGCAGACGCCUGCCAGAUGGCGCAGCGGACGUUUUCUUUCAGAAUCACACGCACAGGCGCGCCCGGGUGCGGUCGAAAAACCACCUGACGAAAGACGUUUUCACCGCUCGUGUGUUCCCGUUUUCACAAAUUCCAACUGAGAAUAUCGUUCGUGCCAAAAUUGAAUUCGUCCGAAGUGCACGUGAAAUAAUCGCGGAAACUGCGCGAAAUAAUAAAAUCAAAGGAGAAUCACAAAUAUUGAAAGUGACGGAAGAAUUAUUUCGUUCACGAAAAAUAACCUCCAAAGCACGUGUCACGAAUGUGACAAAUGAACUCGAAAAAAGGACUGAAAAUGUACAAAAUAGGUCGCCAGCAGAACUUUCUAACCUCCGACACAACACGAGAUGAACAACAAAGGAAAAGCCGACAAUAUUUCCGUUGCAUGCUGACAUCGUUCAACAAACAAAAACACGGAAAAGAUGGAAUGAGGGUGAAAUGUGAUGGACAACAUGGCGAGAUUGCUCAGCGGAUACCUGAUUUCCGCCAUCAGUGAAAUACCAUUCAAACGAUUCCGACCUAGAAUCGGCUAGCGGGUUGUUUCAUCAAGAAACACAAGAGACGAAACCGAAGAUAUGGCAAUGCUGAAAGCGCUAGGCUCACGUACAUUGAACGAGUUCUUGAACAUAAUUUUGAAUCCUCAAGUUCGAGAUAAAUACGAUCAUUUAAACGAGAUGGGCCAAUUAACGCUCCCUCUCUAAAGUCUUUCGUGCUGGCUCCACUCAUUCGUCACAAUUAUUCAGAGGAUCGAACUUCAAUGAUUGAGUAUUUUAAUAAUUAUUCGAUGAAAAAUUAACUAGACAUUUCGAAGGGAAUUCCAGUUUGGAAAGUUGAAGUAGUCGACUGAUGAUAUUCGUCGUUUUUCGCGGUACGAAUAACUUUUUGUUGAUGACAUUUAAACUGAGGGUCCGAUGGUCCUUCAAACAAUGAAAUUCCCUGGAUUGUCAAGUACUUUGUAGAAGUGUUGCUGCAAAUGAUAAAAUUAUGGGUAGAAACUCUCUGAUCGUUUUUAUUUUUUCCGUGAGAAUAUUUUUUCAUAGAUUUUUAUAAAAUUUCACUUGUUUACGUGACUUUGGUCACAUUUAGUUGAUUUCAUGGCUGUUUCCGUGGUGGCGAACGGUAACGAGGAAACUUUUUCCGACCGAGGAAACGUUUCGAUUGCAGUUUUCGUAGGACCGUAGGAUGGCGCCACGUUUUCUUGGGAACGUUGAAGCCGCGAGGAUCGAAGAGAAUCGGGAUAAGUUAAGUCGGGGAAUAAGCCUACCGAUAAGAGGAAUAUAUUUAUAGAUUUAUUUUUUGGAAGAAAAUAAAAUUUAUGUAUAUGUACUACGCGACAUGAUGAUAAAUAUACAUUAUGUACACGAUUCUCAGUCUCGACGCGACAAACGAGGCAACAGAGAUACCUUAAUAGUGAAAACCUACGAAACUAAACCCUCGUCUCUCGUUGAAUGAGAAUGAGAAGGUACUUAA